GUCCUCGUGGUGUAAUGGUCAGCACACUCAGCGCCUGCGCAGGAGGUCCAGGUUCGAGUCCCGGCGGGGGCA
rnacentral:tRNA from 1 species